rnacentral:pre_miRNA from 1 species
CUACUACUCCCUCCGUCCCAAAACUUUUGUCUUAGAUUUGUUAGAUACGGAUGUAUCUAAUACUAAAACGUGACUUGAUACAUCCGUAUUUAGACAAAUCAAAGACAAGAAUUUUGGGACGGAGGGAGCACUAA